rnacentral:rRNA from 1 species
CCAGACUCCUACGGGAGGCAGCAGUGGGGAAUAUUGCACAAUGGGGGAAACCCUGAUGCAGCAACGCCGCGUGGGUGAAGGAGCGUUUCGGCGCGUAAAGCCCUGUCAGCGGGGAAGAAGAAAGACGGUACCCGACCAAGAAGCCCCGGCUAACUACGUGCCAGCAGCCGCGGUAAUACGUAGGGGGCGAGCGUUAUCCGGAAUUACUGGGUGUAAAGGGAGCGUAGACGGCGAGGUAAGCCUGAAGUGGAAGCCCGCGGCCCAACCGCGGAACUGCUUUGGGAACUGUAUAUCUAGAGUGUCGGAGAGGCAAGUGGAAUUCCUGGUGUAGCGGUGAAAUGCGUAGAUAUCAGGAGGAACACCAGUGGCGAAGGCGGCUUGCUGGACGAUGACUGACGUUGAGGCUCGAAAGCGUGGGGAGCAAACAGGAUUAGAUACCCGCGUAA